GUUCCCAUUCAGCUUUGACAGUUUUCUUAAUGUAUUGUGGCCGGGACAGCGCUUCCUCUAUUCAGAAAAAAAGCAGAGGAAAAUGAAAAGAGAGAAGAGAAUGGGAGACUCGAAACGCCUUUGUCUUGGAACCCACAGGGGAAUUCAUCUUCAGAAUCUAUUUGUUUGUUGUCGCACUCGGUGUAAUGAUCUGCGUUUGUCAUUCGGCAAGAGAAUCCGAGAGUUGCUCUAUGCAUACACAGUGACGGUGCGUGGGAGUGGGGGAUAGAUCGUGUUGGAGGAGUCCUAAGUUGUUGUAGGAGGCAGUUCCUAUGAACAGAUGUUUCACCAGAAGUGAUUGAACAACGUUAUUCUAACGUUUACUCGAGAAUCUUUCACUUUUUAUGAAGUUCCUAAAGAGAGAGAAAUGUAGGUAAACAAAUUUCUGCUAAUGUGUGACAAAAAGCUAAUGCACUCAAGACCUUUACUAUCGCCUGAAUUGGAUCUUCGUAGCACAGCAAACUCAAGAGUUCCAUGGGUCGACCAGUAGCAUUCUGCUCUACCAUCGCAAUGAUAAGCUACACAGGCUACAGUUGAGAGGAAAGUCAGUCAAAAAUGUACGAGUUCAGUGCAGAGAAUAGAAAUUCGUUCUACCUUCCAAGAACACUGAUUUUUCCAUGAUGCUGCUGUUGGCCUGACACCGAAGGAGGUCUGCACUCGUAACUCAUCAUUAAUAACCGAACCUAAAUAAGACAUUUUAUUGUUGUAAACCAAAUUGAAUUCCCGCUGCGAGAGAAAGAGAUCAACCCGUAGAUUAUCGAUACAAUGCCGGAGAGAGAGAGAGUGUCCAGAGAGUUCUCUCUCAGGUGUUACCCGGUCUCGGCACCGAACCAAAGGACCAGACACCAGAGGAAGACAUCAAAGAGAACUGCGAGAACUGCCUGUCCUCUGCUUUGUUAUUAUUGUUAUUAUUACAGACACACAUACAUAUAUUAUUGUUAUUCCUCACUCACACUUCCUACACUGCACCCUGGG
rnacentral:lncRNA from 1 species